GAUGGGGUAGCAGAAGGACGGGUGGUCGGCGAGGGUCGGUUAGCGGGGUGGCGCGUGGAGGAACGCCGACACGGCGGCCGCUACACGCCGCGAGGCCCGGUGUGCGGCGAUCGGAGGUCAUUUUUUUUGUGGGGUCUUUUAUCAGCAAACCAUAUAAGAUAUAAGUGUCCUGCCGCCUGAACCGCUGCCCCUGCCGCGCCCUUGAGCGGUCGGUCCUCCGAGGGCCGCCUCGAACCGCAGAGGGACAUCUUCCUUCGCCGACGCCGCCGCCAGCCUCUCCACCAAGUCUCGAGCCCGCAGGUACCGCAACCCCGAGGGUAUCUCUUCUUUGCUCCCUCCCUGUACUCGUCUCUCUCCUUUUUGUCUUCCUCCUCCCCCUAUCCUUCCCCUCUCGUUCUCUUCUUUUCUCGUCUCUCUUCCCGGCCGCGAGUAGACGACCGAGGCCGCUCGACGCCGACCCCAGGUAACCUCCUCGCCGAGCUACUGCUCCUCUACUCCGCGCCGCGUGCUCCCUUCCUCCUCCCCUAGCUGGGUUCCGCCCUCGACAACUGCGUGGUCGCGUCCCCAGUGGUAGAUAGAAGCAGUCCAUUCGCGUCCGUAAGCAGAGAGACAGCAGCAACGCCACGAACCCAGCAAGAGGUCAAAGACAGGUGUCAGUAGUGGUUCGAGCACGGCGCGGUUACGAUGACCCAGGACCUAACUAAGUCCAGCAAGACGCUUGUGACUGCUCCUCGUACAAUACACCACUGGAGGCAAGAGAUUGCACCUCUAUGUAUCUACCGCUUGUACCAAGGUCCCAGUACUACCAACAAAAUGUGAGUAUUUCAAAAGGCCAAAAGGGACUGCACAAGUACUGUAGAGGCGGGCCGGUAGAAGUUCUAGUUGUGCUUUGACGUUCUGAAGGUGUCCGGACUACGAGGAGCUAGUGAUCGUUACGUACCGUGCUGGGCCUAAAUUAGAGGUUAAAACGCGAUGACACCAAUCAGCAAGAGUUGGAGGGGAAUUAGACUCUUGGAUGUUUGUGUCAGGAAACGUUAAAAGGUAGAAGAUUACGUCAUCGGUCUUCAUUCCUAGGGCCUUCGUUUUCCUACUAACCUCGUCCCAUUAUGUUAGAAAACAUACCUUUCCGUUUAUGCUAGAAGGAGAAGAGUGACGUAACUUCUAGAAGUUACGAAAAACAUACCAAAUCCCUCUCGUACACCUUCUUACGAUAAUAAUAUGUAUAACCGAUACUCCUGCUCCGCAAGUCAGAUUUUAUGCGCACCUACAUAGUGUAAAGAUAAGACCCGUCUAUUCAAGAGAUAUCUAUGGAACGAACGUCGAUUAAACCAAACAAGUUCAUACACUAUACAAGUAAGAUAAAAAAGGAGUAAGGGACGACGUCUUAUCGUAGUUAAUGAGUACUUUAGUAGAGGAUUUAAUUAAACGAAGAUCGUAAGAAUCAAAAGACUAGAUUCUUUUUAAAGAAAUACAAAACCAACACACUAAUUUAAAAUUGAAAACAACAGGUGUACAGGGCAAUAGUUUAGUAAAAGAAGAUUACCUAACAAGCGGAUAGACUACUUAAGCUGAUUGUAGUUCUAACUUCCCUGAAAAGUACCUGUACAAGAGGUUGGUUUAAACCUUAACUAACUAAGACGUCGGUUCGAUGUGUAUAUACCUCUGGCGAAGGUGACAUCCACGAAACCGCGACACAUAAACGAACAACAUCUACGAGACGAAGGUGACAAACGACGAAAGCGCACAUCGUUAACCCACCAAACAUCGACGACUACAUUAGGUUCUACUUCGUCCGAGUGUACACCUGUGACGAAGAGCGACCACCUUUUGUUAAUCGACGUCUUAAAUCGUUGUCUUCUGUGCGCGCACCGGAUGCCUCUCUUAUUGUGCGCGCCGUACCGGUUCCUUCUCUUUGCGCUCGCCGACAGCACCGAGAACCGCCUGUGCUUGCAGCGAAACGUGGUGGUCCCACCAGACGAACGUCAAGGAUGAGGUCCAAAUAACUAUUACGAUAAAAAAGUAAGAUUUGAGGCAAAUUUAAAGUCAAGUUUAAAUAUCAAAUUACGAGACAUCCCUCGUGUCUGUAACACGAUAUAUUAUUAGUAGAAACUACACACAUGACCUUGGUGGCCUAUUUUCAACAAGAAAGUAAACUUCCUAUCUAAAGCAAACUACCAAGUUGUAAUUUACAUCGACCAUGUUAGCCUAAAUCGUCUGUUUUACCCACUGGUUCGUACCACCACAACGUGAACGAACGGAACCGAUACUCCUCUUUAAUACAUUACUUCAAUCAUGAAAUAUUACAUGCGUCGGGUAACGGCACGA
rnacentral:rRNA from 1 species